CCCGGGCCCUGCUGCCCAGAGCUGGCGUCCCAAACCAACUCUUAACCAACACGCCACCGGGCUGGCCCAGGAAUUUGAUUCUUAAAUCAUCUACCUGUUAAGGACUCAGAUUAAUUUAAAUAGAAUCACUCUUUGUAAUAACUCAAUUGGACUCUUACUAUCUAUUUGCCCAUCCAUCCUUCUGUAACCGUAAGAUGAACAAACACAAUUACGGAGUUGGGUUUAACUAAAAUAGAAAUUCAGUUUUGUCUUUAUGGUUCUCUGGGAGAAGGUUUUUUUCCUGUGCCUCUUUGAAAACAUAGGCAGUUCCUUGAUUUUCUGACCAUGCAAGUGAUAAAAUGUUGUCUCAUGGCCUCCAGGUUGCACAGCUCCAGGGUCACCACUUGCAUUGUAAUCUUCCCUAACAAGUCACCCGAGCCCCUCAAUAGAUUAUAAUGGGAAUGGUUGGCAAACGUGGGCUGGAGGCCUCAGGUCACUUUAAUAUCAAAGUCAUAGUUUUAAUUCAGUACUUAGAAGUGUUUUGUCUAAUACAGUAGAGAAUGCCUUACUCUCAUCCCCACCCCCUCCAUGCCAGGGCCUCACGCAACCACACCAGCGAUCUUCGGGGAGAGGGUGCUAUAACCUUCUGGCCGAGCCCCUCCAGGGUGGACGGGAGGCUGGAGGGCAGAGGGGGCCCUCUGAGGGCUCUGGCCUUUGGCCUCACUCCCGGCGCCCCAGGCUUCUGCCUUGGGCAGCUGGUCCUAGGGCUGCAUACUGCCAGUGCCCCGACCUUCUCAGUCCCGCUGCUGGCACAGGAUGACGUGUAAGUGGCCCUGGACCGAUGCUCUUACCACUGGCUGUCAUCCAGUCCUUAGCAUUGCGGACUUUUGACCCUCUGUUAGAGGGGAGUGCAGUGCCGUCCUGGUUCCCUGCUGCCAUAGCCUCCUUCUCGCAGGCACAGGUGAGGGCCAGACAUCACUACCUGUGCCCCUCGGUCAGGAUGGACCAGGGGGAGCUAGUGCGGCACAAACCCUGAGUACAGAAUUGGGGGGGAGGCAAAAAACUCAGCAAUCAGGAUAGAUGACAUUUUAAUGAAAUAUGUACUUGUUAAAAUAAAUAUUAUUAGUGCAAAAAACAUGAUGAAAAAGAUAUCAGAUUUUUAAAUAAAGACAGGGCUAGUGCAGGAGACACUGAUUCAUGUGCAUGUGUCGGGGUGCCCUGCAAACAGCCCCCAGCCCUGUCCCCCCCGUAGCACAUCUCUCCUUCCAUUGAAAUCGUCCUCAGAACAACCCUCUCACUGCCUCCAUCUUGUAUAACUGGGUUGAAAUAUAGGCUCUGUGUUCUAACAGCUCACUUUGAAAUGUGUUCUGUAAAUUGUUGUAUGACUCAAAAUAUUCAGUUUAAAUUUUUAUCCAUCCACCCACCCAUCAAUCCAUCCAUUCAUUUAUCGGGGUCAUGGGUGAAGGAGGCUAAAGAUAAUCUUCAAAUGCUGGCAUAUUUAAUCACUUUUAAGAGACGGUCUAUAUAUACGGAUGGCUGUGAAGUGGAAAUGUGUACAGUUACAAAGGGAAUACCUCGUCUGCCUCACCAGCUGGGCCCUGAGCACUGGUGAUGUGUAAAACUAAAGGGAGUCGCUGUGCACUUUGCUCUCCUGUUGGAAAGGCCCCAUAACCCAUGCCAUGUCACGGCUCCUCUGUCCUGCUAGGAUCCCCCCUGAAACAGCUCAUGCGAGUUUCUGACCCGUUGUCAAUAUAAAUGGAGGCUGGCCUGCAGGGGGAAAACGGCAGCUGGCCCUGUUCAGAGGAGACCAACAGCCUUCAAGCCAGUGAAUUGUCAGUUCCUUUGUAAAGGGUGUUUUUAUAAUCACUCAGCUGUCUUAGGGGUAGCGUUCACAGGACUCUGUCAAGGAACACAGAGGUGCAUAUAGCAUUGCAGGCAUUGAGGUGGUUUUUUGAAACUUAUUUUCAGAGAUUUUUAAGACAUUUUUUAGCUGGUGUAUUACAGGGAUAAUUGAGUCAAUAAAUAUUUGUUAUCUGUUUAGUGUAUGUGAUACAGAGCUAUUGGUGCCAAUGGUCGAAGGUAAUUGUCUCAGAUCAACUCAGGCACCUUUGACCGAUCUGUGUAGCCAGGUCUAAAUGAGCACGUUUCCCUCUGAAGUCCAACUGCAUUUUAUCUCCCCGAUAAGUGUUCAGUUGUCCCCUGCGUCAGCUGUGUCAGCCUGGGUCAUCUGCGAGACACUGCUCCGUAAGUACAGCCUGCGAUCUAUGUGGCUUCAUAAACUCAAGUGUAACGUGCUGGCCACAGAAAGGAGGGUUUCAUAGCACCAUUCCUGCUUGGAACAGCAUCAUUGGGAUUUGGAUUAAUUGUGAUCCAAAAAGUUGUCUUAGCUCACGGCGUAUGACCUCUGAACCCCCAAGUGCCAAAAUCUUACUAUGUAAAGCAACCCCUGUGAUACAAAAGCAGACAGAUAAACUGAAUCGCAUGUCACACCAUGCUGCUGUCCUAUAAUGUACUGUCUGAAGAGGUCUUGAGAGUCAGCUCCUGUUGCCUCAGACAUGACAGUCCUCCCAACUGAAUUCCGGCAGCCCUCCCACAGGGAGAGGCCAGCCUGUUCAGGAACGGUCGGCCGAUGGCACCUGGGAGCCUCUGGCCUGUUGCUGGCAGCGGGCAGGUCAGUGGAAACAAACGCGUGUUAUGAAGUCCACAUCUCUAACGGACGUCUUCCAGAAAAUAAAAUGGGAUUUCCAGAAACAUGUGCAGGCUUCCUCAGUGCUUGUUAUUAACAUGAGCACUGACACAAAGAGUGCUUUUCACACACACGGGACAAGGAAUCCUCGGGGAAAGUCCCCCUGAGCCCCCCUAGCUGAGAGCGCAGACAGCACUGCAGCCGUGGGGUGCUCUUCGAGACACCUGUGAGGGCGGGAGGGUGGCCCUGGACCGGGCAGGGGACAACCGAGCCUGUGCUCAGAGGACAUCGGGAACUGGGACAACCCUGUAAGAGGCCCUCACUUAGACAGGGCUGGGUCCUUGUGCCCACAUCGACCAGUGAUAGGAUGCAGGCUGCCCCUGCAGAGAGGGUGUAACCUUGAGCUAGGCAGCACCCUUAGGCCCAGGACAGUUUUGGGUAGGGACCCCGCUGGGAGCUGACACUGUGCAGUCAACACUUCAGACUGUGCGCCUUGGGGCUGCGAGUGUGGGGCCUGGGGGGGCUGGGGUGGGUCCGCAGUGGAACAGCAGCCCUCCUCUGUGGCUUGCUGACACUGUCCUUGUGUCUUGGCCUCUGGGGAAAUGACAUUUCUAACGUGCAGAGGCCACAGCUGGAGGGGCAGGAAGUAAGGGCGACAGGGCCUUUUGUUUUUACUCUUACUUAUCAGGCCAGAUGUUCUGCCUGUUGAGGGCAGAGCAGCCUGUGAUGGUUGUUAAGAAGUGCACACUGCCGCCUGGAUUAAUAAGUGUACGCCGUCUCCUGGAUGCUGUCGCCUGGAUUGGUAAACUUACGCUGUCACCCGGAGGCUGACGCCCACCCGCAGUGCGAGCAGCUUUACUCCCUCAGGAGGAAUCCCUGACAGGUUUGUGGGCCCAUGGCCCUGAGAGCUUCAAGGCCCACCGCUAGCGGCCGCGUCCCGCCUCCAGGCUGCGCGGAGCGCUGUCCUGUCCCGUUCCGAAUCGUUGGCUGCGCCUGGCAUCGGGUUGGUGAGCCCAGGGGCCCUGCCCUGGACGACUGGAUUCGAUCAUGGACUGUCCUGGCUAAGAGCUGGUAAAAAGGGAAACUUAAAUGUCGCCAGGAAAUCCCAAAGCCACAUCGUCGCGAACACCUGGCGAUUCUGUAGUGGGGGCUGACCCCCAGUGCCGCGGGAUGGCUGACCAUCCCAACAGCAAUGCGUCUGUUUCUGUGAGGUCGGCGGGGCCAGCUCGGCCAUGGGAGCAGACUUCGCAGGGUGCUGACCUUCUGCCUGGGCUUCCCCAAGUGAAUGAUUAACUGGCUGGAGUCUCAUUGAUGGUUAAUGGCUGUUAUAUCAGCUCUGGGGCAGAGACAAGAGCUUGGAGGGUUCUGCUGGGUAAGCAGAUGGCAGCAAAUAGUGUUCACCUCAGCACCCCUUUUAUCUCACGCAGUGAUAGAACGAUGAUGGGCCUGUUUCACGGGGAUGUAUGGCAGUGACAUGGAGGCGGGAGAUUUGGAUGGAGGAAGAGGAGUGGGCGGCAUGAGUGGGCCCGCUAGGAGCAGCCCCAGCUCUGAGCGCCAAGCCCGCCUCUGGCACAGGUGUCUCAGGGCAGCACAAUCAGCGUGCGUGCGUGCGUGCGUGCGUGCGUGCAGGCCAGGCACGGCGCCCGUGGUGUCUGCACGGCUCUGCGGGUGUCAGCUCCCACACGGCGCCCUGGAGUGACCUCUCAGAGACUGUGACCAGCCCGCUGGGCCCAGGGACUUUGAAGCCAGAUCUGAGUUCAUAUCCCAGCUGUGCCGCUUGCUAGCUGUGGCUCUGAGGAGGUAACCUAACCUUCUCUACCUGGUUUCCUUCCUGAAAAGGGAGGUACAACGACCUGUUAAUGACAUUGUCGGAAGGAGGAAGUGAGUUCCCCAGCGGGAAGGGCCUGCAGUCUCUGCUCAGUGGCCUUGGCCUCCCUUCUCUCCCCCACCUGCGCCCCCUCCCCCCCUCUGCUGCAAGGCCUUUCUGUAACAGGACUGUCCUCGAGAAUUCUGUAGGAAAAGGCCUCUAGGCGUGAAGUCGCCUGCCCAUUGUGCCCAGGACACAGCGGCUUAGCUCUUGGGGGCCAAGUGAGGUGCGGGGCUCAGGGCAGGACUGUCCCCUGGGCCUCCUCUGGGGCCAAGGCACAGCCCCCUUCUCAUCUGGAGGUGACCCCAAACUAAAGCAGCAAGGAAGGCCUAGCUGAGGGGGGACCAGCCCUACCCCAGAUGCGGGCUUCCGUGUGCCUGCUUGUUUGUUUUUGCAUGUAAAGCGUUUUCUCCACAUGAUCCUUGGCCUCUGGCCUUAAUGCCUUCUCCCAGCUUCUGCCCACGCAGGGUCACUCCACCAGUGGUUGUUAAUUUAGUAACACAAGCCUGGUUAUUAAUUGACUUGUUUUUCGCGGUAGCAAACAGGUAUUUUUUUCUAAAAAAUUGUUUUAGUUUUCAUUUUAAAUUUCAGCUCUUGUCCAACUGAGAAUUCCUACAAUUCUGUGUUGGUUUCUCUACUGCCCUUCUGUGGGAUUACCUUCUCCUUUCCUUAUAAAAACCCCAGUUUUAUGUCAAGUGAGAAAGGGUGGGAAUCUACUCCCACUCAGUGCCUGUUGAACACCCUCCUGUGUUCAAACACCUGAAAACAAAUGCGGAGGUGCUGGCGGCUGGCGGCUGGGGGUUCAGGCAGGUGUUUCUAGGGGAGGCGAGAGUCAAAUACGUUCGAAGGCCUAGUGGAUAGAGCCAGGAUAGAAAAAGCAAGAGGCUUCGAGGAAAAAAAAGGAAUAAUGAUGGGACACAGCUGUGCCUGCAUUUCCCAGACGUGUACUCCCUGUGCUGGCAGGCUCAGGGGAGAGCCCUGAGCACCGGCUUCUGCUGGCUCCUCCGGAGGGUGUGCAGCGGAGGUCGGUGCCGGCCGCGACUCCGCCUUUCCUCCUUCGUCCAGGUGGAUGAGUGAGACCAGGGCAGUCUUGACCUGCAGAGAGCUGUGUGGUGAAGGCGGACGCUUGGAUUGGUGUUGUAUGAAGCUAAAAAUACUCCCACUGGGUGAGGGGAACAAGGAUAAGAAGGCAACUAUGGCUCUAAGGGUGAUCGAUAGGAGCUAGUCAAGUUGAAAGCUAUUGUGACAGCCCAUGUCUGUUGCUUUACCCUUCCUAGCCGUGCAGUCUUGUCCCAUAGGUUAGAAAGAGGCAUCGUAAAACAUGCUAUUGGGAGUGCUGUCAGGUGGCUGAAAGAGUCAGCUUAGUUGCUGUUUAUUUUAUACACACACACUCACACACACACACAAAAUGAGGCAAGCCGGAAAAGGGAGUGAUGCAUGCCAUUUAAUCUGUCAGGUUUCUUUUAAUUCAAAUAAUUAUUAUUUUGAUUGCAUUCGUAACUCUUGUGGGGUCUCUGCUUUGAACAAAUGGUUUGUGGGUUGGAAAUGUACAGGUUUGUUUUUUUUCCUUUUAAGCCUGAAUAUAGCCUAAAGUCAGAGAAUAAUCUCUGCAAGUUCUGGGUGUUUCUGUUAAUGUUAUGUGCCUUAAAACCGUACCCUGGCAUUUGCAACAUCAAACCGAGGCACCUGUUUGCUAUCAUGGCUGAUAGCAAGAACGUGGGUUCAGAAGGGCGGUCAGCAGCUUCUCUCUCCUCCGGGAGGAACCUGAUCUCCGUGGUCGGAGUAUUGAGACGCCUCGGCUGAUGACUGUUUGUUUGGAGGAAAUCAUGAAGAAAUGAUCUCUGGACAAAGGGAAGUGACUUUGUGAAUUGCGACAGCCUCGCUACUGGGCUCGUCUAGAACUGAACAAUGACCGAGAAAGCCAGAAAGCCAGCAGCCCUGCAGCGCAGGUGUCUGGGGGCCCCAGCCAUUACAGCUGAACCAAGGAGUGUAAGCUGUGGAAACCCGCACGCUGCGAGCCUGCUGCGCCAGGUAAAUCUCGUCUCGGAUGCUUCCCGCCAGCCUGUCUGAUCCACUAAGAAUGGCUUUGGGACAUUUUACAGUAAAAAUGAAGAGAGAACUGAGUGGAGUAAACAUCUGUUUUGAAACUAGUCAGAUCUGGGCUCGGACCCAGCUCAGGCCAUCUGGCCAGAGUGCCACCCUAAGCGAUGGCUCCUCAGGCAACACCAGGCUGGUAGCAGCCGCCCGGCACAGACUUGGGGUCUUGAAGUGACGUGUGAAAAAGGGUGCCCUCAGGUCAGUAGUGAAGGAUAUUAACUAGAAGACUUAGGGAGUCUAGGCUACGGAGAGGAUUCUGCCAAACCUCAUGUUUCCCAACGAGAGGACCACAGCUUAGCUUGAUUGAAGUCCCUCAAACUAUCGGGCCCAUUCUCCUGCCUGAAAUCCACACCCCCUAGGAAUCCCCCGCCCGUAAAAUUCAAAGCCCCUAAUAAUCACACCAUUCUCACACCUAUUCGUCCAUUCUUUUUAUUUUUACAAAGCACAGCAAAAUGAGGAAACAGCUGACAGGCGAGGUGUCCGCCCAGGGGACAACCCCCCUGACCUUCUCUUGGCCUCACGGAGAUCAUCCAGUGAGGACUCCUUACGUGACUGCCUCUGAGACGCUUCUCGUGGUGGGAGAGGAGAGACAGAAACGGGCAUUCACAAUUCUUUAAAAUGACUUAAAAGCUAAACAUAAUGUCCAUCAUAACUCCUUUAUCCUAGUACAAAAAUAGUGCCAGAAACUAUAUAUUUGUUCAAAUAUAUUGAAAAGGUAUAAGAAUACAAAUAGGUAUUAACAGUGGCCAGUGAUGAUUCGUAAGGUUUUCUCUUCUUAAACUGUAAUAGAAAUGUACAUUUUCAACUAUUUACAUCACUUGCAGUCACAUUCAUUCAGACAUGUUUACACAGGCUUUGGAGAAGUGUAUGGACGGGAGGGUGAGCCGUAAACCUUUUUUCCUCGCUCCCUGUGGUGGAGCAGAGGGUCAGAACGGCACAGUUUAGCAGACUGGGAACCCUGAGCCAUCUCCCCCUGACGAGCGUGCGGAGAAACUGCGUCCCCGUCCCCGGUGGAACACACGACUCCGGUCAGCUGUCGCUCUUUAGAUGAGAGCCUGUCAGGCCCUCAGCAGGCUGAGUGAGUCCUCCGAGCAGGAAGACCAGACGGUCACGAACAGAUUCUUAGAAAGUUCCGGUGAAGACGCGCUUGGGAAGCUGUAUAAUGCAUGUUACAGAGGAAAACCAAAGUACCCUGAUGCAGCCUAGGUGUUCACGUUGUCGGCAGACUGUCUGCUGAGACUGAGCCGCGUGGGGUGGCCGCCCUGUCCCACGUGGAGACAGUGCCUGGCAUGUGGCAGGGACUCAAACGCAUCAAUGCACCUCUGAUACCGAGCCACUCAGUUCUACUACCUUGUUGUCACUACAGCCAUUCACUGGAGAUGAUGGCAGUACGCUUGGCCCCCACUCCCCGUAAACCAACCUUGUACACACAAAACAAAGCAGUGUCGCUUGUGAUGGCCUGUUAAGCUUUAGGAGUACAAUUGGGUGAAAAAUAGGAAAACUGAAAACCAAACCGAAGUGUUCUAACAUCUGUGUUCUAUGCUGAAAAUAAAGGCACUUCGCUGCUAGGCAAGGAUGUGCCUGUUGGUCAGGCUCCUCCCGUGUUCCGUCUGCAGAUGUGCUGGCAGGGGACACGGCUCUUCACACCUAAGAGCUCGGUGGUGACAUCGCCACCCAGGGUCUAUCCCUCACAGAGCUCUGACCCCACACUCAACAGCCACCUACAUGAGAAGCUGCAUAGAUGUGUCCUUCGUUUUUCAGUCUGGGAAACUCAGCCUAAGAAAUGCUGUGUGGGAUUAGAUCGCCGGGCUCUGUGGCCCAUGUCCCAUCUGACAGUGGUGUCCAGGGCCCAGCAGGGCCAGCCUGGUCACUGCCUCUGUGACACCCCCUAACAGCACAGCUUGUUCGGACGUGUGGACAUGCAGGGACCUACCAAGUUCCCACAGGUGUGAUGGCAAAAGCCAGUCCUCUGAAGCCACAAGGCCAGGCACGUUCACAGACAUCAUUUUGACAACUUAGUAAUUGAGUGGGGCCUUCGGGCUGAAAACGGAACUGAAAUGGCGUCAUGUGACUCAGCUAUGACAAAAACAAAAUCUGCAACAAGCGGUAUAAAUACAGGGGGUGGUGGGGAGGGCUAGAAAGUUAGUUUUUUUCCAGCUUAAGAAGAUACCGGGAAGGAAAUAUUCACAUAAGAACGAAAACUCUGAUUUGUGCCCAUGUACCAUAUAUGAAACCAUGUAUGGAAUGAUUUUCCUAAAACUUAUUUGAACCAACUAACCAGUCCUAAAGAAGUACUUCUGUACGAACCAAAACACCCAACAAUAAAAUAGGCAUGGCAUUGCCCAACUUCUUUUAAUUUCUAAACUAGUAAAGUAAAAUUAA